rnacentral:rRNA from 1 species
ACGCUGGCGGCGUGCCUAAUACAUGCAAGUAGAACGCUGAAGGAGGAGCUUGCUUCUCCGGAUGAGUUGCGAACGGGUGAGUAACGCGUAGGUAACCUGCCUGGUAGCGGGGGAUAACUAUUGGAAACGAUAGCUAAUACCGCAUAAGAGUAGAUGUUGCAUGACAUUUGCUUAAAAGGUGCAAUUGCAUCACUACCAGAUGGACCUGCGUUGUAUUAGCUAGUUGGUGGGGUAACGGCUCACCAAGGCGACGAUACAUAGCCGACCUGAGAGGGUGAUCGGCCACACUGGGACUGAGACACGGCCCAGACUCCUACGGGAGGCAGCAGUAGGGAAUCUUCGGCAAUGGACGGAAGUCUGACCGAGCAACGCCGCGUGAGUGAAGAAGGUUUUCGGAUCGUAAAGCUCUGUUGUAAGAGAAGAACGAGUGUGAGAGUGGAAAGUUCACACUGUGACGGUAUCUUACCAGAAAGGGACGGCCAACUACGUGCCAGCAGCCGCGGUAAUACGUAGGUCCCGAGCGUUGUCCGGAUUUAUUGGGCGUAAAGCGAGCGCAGGCGGUUAGAUAAGUCUGAAGUUAAAGGCUGUGGCUUAACCAUAGUACGCUUUGGAAACUGUUUAACUUGAGUGCAAGAGGGGAGAGUGGAAUUCCAUGUGUAGCGGUGAAAUGCGUAGAUAUAUGGAGGAACACCGGUGGCGAAAGCGGCUCUCUGGCUUGUAACUGACGCUGAGGCUCGAAAGCGUGGGGAGCAAACAGGAUUAGGUACCCUGGUAGUCCACGCCGUAAACGAUGAGUGCUAGGUGUUAGACCCUUUCCGGGGUUUAGUGCCGCAGCUAACGCAUUAAGCACUCCGCCUGGGGAGUACGACCGCAAGGUUGAAACUCAAAGGAAUUGACGGGGGCCCGCA